UGUAGCUCAGAUGGUAGAGUAUUUACCUGACAUACAGGAAACCCUGGGUUCAAACCCCAGCA
rnacentral:tRNA from 1 species